GGGUUGUGAGGUUAAGCGACUAAGCGUACACGGUGGAUGCCCUGGCAGUCAGAGGCGAUGAAGGACGUGCUAAUCUGCGAUAAGCGUCGGUAAGGUGAUAUGAACCGUUAUAACCGGCGAUUUCCGAAUGGGGAAACCCAGUGUGWUUCGWCACACUAUCAUUAACUGAAUCCAUAGGUUAAUGAGGCGAACCGGGGGAACUGAAACAUCUAAGUACCCCGAGGAAAAGAAAUCAACCGAGAUUCCCCCAGUAGCGGCGAGCGAACGGGGAGCAGCCCAGAGCCUGAAUCAGUGUGUGUGUUAGUGGAAGCGUCUGGAAAGGCGCGCGAUACAGGGUGACAGCCCCGUACACAAAAAUGCACAUGCUGUGAGCUCGAUGAGUAGGGCGGGACACGUGGUAUCCUGUCUGAAUAUGGGGGGACCAUCCUCCAAGGCUAAAUACUCCUGACUGACCGAUAGUGAACCAGUACCGUGAGGGAAAGGCGAAAAGAACCCCGGCGAGGGGAGUGAAAAAGAACCUGAAACCGUGUACGUACAAGCAGUGGGAGCACGCUUAGGCGUGUGACUGCGUACCUUUUGUAUAAUGGGUCAGCGACUUAUAUUCUGUAGCAAGGUUAACCGAAUAGGGGAGCCGAAGGGAAACCGAGUCUUAACUGGGCGUUAAGUUGCAGGGUAUAGACCCGAAACCCGGUGAUCUAGCCAUGGGCAGGUUGAAGGUUGGGUAACACUAACUGGAGGACCGAACCGACUAAUGUUGAAAAAUUAGCGGAUGACUUGUGGCUGGGGGUGAAAGGCCAAUCAAACCGGGAGAUAGCUGGUUCUCCCCGAAAGCUAUUUAGGUAGCGCCUCGUGAAYUCAUCUCCGGGGGUAGAGCACUGUUUCGGCAAGGGGGUCAUCCCGACUUACCAACCCGAUGCAAACURCGAAUACCGGAGAAUGUUAUCACGGGAGACACACGGCGGGUGCUAACGUCCGUCGUGAAGAGGGAAACAACCCAGACCGCCAGCUAAGGUCCCAAAGUCAUGGUUAAGUGGGAAACGAUGUGGGAAGGCCCAGACAGCCAGGAUGUUGGCUUAGAAGCAGCCAUCAUUUAAAGAAAGCGUAAUAGCUCACUGGUCGAGUCGGCCUGCGCGGAAGAUGUAACGGGGCUAAACCAUGCACCGAAGCUGCGGCAGCGACGCUUAUGCGUUGUUGGGUAGGGGAGCGUUCUGUAAGCCUGYGAAGGUGUGCUGUGAGGCAUGCUGGAGGUAUCAGAAGUGCGAAUGCUGACAUAAGUAACGAUAAAGCGGGUGAAAAGCCCGCUCGCCGGAAGACCAAGGGUUCCUGUCCAACGUUAAUCGGGGCAGGGUGAGUCGACCCCUAAGGCGAGGCCGAAAGGCGUAGUCGAUGGGAAACAGGUUAAUAUUCCUGUACUUGGUGUUACUGCGAAGGGGGGACGGAGAAGGCUAUGUUGGCCGGGCGACGGUUGUCCCGGUUUAAGCGUGUAGGCUGGUUUUCCAGGCAAAUCCGGAAAAYYAAGGCUGAGGCGUGAUGACGAGGCACUACGGUGCUGAAGCAACAAAUGCCCUGCUUCCAGGAAAAGCCUCUAAGCAUCAGGUAACAUCAAAUCGUACCCCAAACCGACACAGGUGGUCAGGUAGAGAAUACCAAGGCGCUUGAGAGAACUCGGGUGAAGGAACUAGGCAAAAUGGUGCCGUAACUUCGGGAGAAGGCACGCUGAUAUGUAGGUGAAGUCCCUCGCGGAUGGAGCUGAAAUCAGUCGAAGAUACCAGCUGGCUGCAACUGUUUAUUAAAAACACAGCACUGUGCAAACACGAAAGUGGACGUAUACGGUGUGACGCCUGCCCGGUGCCGGAAGGUUAAUUGAUGGGGUCAGCGCAAGCGAAGCUCUUGAUCGAAGCCCCGGUAAACGGCGGCCGUAACUAUAACGGUCCUAAGGUAGCGAAAUUCCUUGUCGGGUAAGUUCCGACCUGCACGAAUGGCGUAAUGAUGGCCAGGCUGUCUCCACCCGAGACUCAGUGAAAUUGAACUCGCUGUGAAGAUGCAGUGUACCCGCGGCAAGACGGAAAGACCCCGUGAACCUUUACUAUAGCUUGACACUGAACAUUGAGCCUUGAUGUGUAGGAUAGGUGGGAGGCUUKGAAGUGUGGACGCCAGUCUGCAUGGAGCCGACCUUGAAAUACCACCCUUUAAUGUUUGAUGUUCUAACGUUGACCCGURAUCCGGGUUGCGGACAGUGUCUGGUGGGUAGUUUGACUGGGGCGGUCUCCUCCUAAAGAGUAACGGAGGAGCACGAAGGUUGGCUAAUCCUGGUCGGACAUCAGGAGGUUAGUGCAAUGGCAUAAGCCAGCUUGACUGCGAGCGUGACGGCGCGAGCAGGUGCGAAAGCAGGUCAUAGUGAUCCGGUGGUUCUGAAUGGAAGGGCCAUCGCUCAACGGAUAAAAGGUACUCCGGGGAUAACAGGCUGAUACCGCCCAAGAGUUCAUAUCGACGGCGGUGUUUGGCACCUCGAUGUCGGCUCAUCACAUCCUGGGGCUGAAGUAGGUCCCAAGGGUAUGGCUGUUCGCCAUUUAAAGUGGUACGCGAGCUGGGUUUAGAACGUCGUGAGACAGUUCGGUCCCUAUCUGCCGUGGGCGCUGGAGAAYUGAGGGGGGCUGCUCCUAGUACGAGAGGACCGGAGUGGACGCAUCACUGGUGUUCGGGUUGUCAUGCCAAUGGCACUGCCCGGUAGCUAAAUGCGGAAGAGAUAAGUGCUGAAAGCAUCUAAGCACGAAACUUGCCCCGAGAUGAGUUCUCCCUGACUCCUUGAGAGUCCUGAAGGAACGUUGAAGACGACGACGUUGAUAGGCCGGRUGUGUAAGCGCAGCGAUGCGUUGAGCUAACCGGUACUAAUGAACCGUGAGGCUUAACCUUACAACGCCGAAGSUGUU
rnacentral:rRNA from 1 species